UGAUAAUCAACUCUAGUAAAAGAAUGUCCAAAUCAAUUGAGCUUUAGCAAGGGCAAACUGACUGGACACAGCCAGACUCCCAGCAAAACUGUCAGCAAUUGAAUCCCCUUAGAUAUGGAAGAAGUUCAGAUUUCCUGAUCCUAAAUUCACUCUCCUUUUGGACACAUGCAGAUCAGUCUCUACCUGUCCCAGACUGAGAUGUAAUGUGGCUGUAGACUGUAACUGUUUACAGAAGUGGGAGCCUUCAAUAGCUGCCUCUUCAUUGCCUGGUUUGGAGACUGACUCAGAAAAUAAGACAUUAAGCUUUAAAGCUAGCUGAAAAAUAAAGGGUGGAGAUGUGAAAAAUGUCA
rnacentral:lncRNA from 1 species